rnacentral:lncRNA from 1 species
GCAUUCUUACUUUCUGUCCUUGCAGGUUACAGAUGAACUUCUAACAUCACUGUUUGCCCAACUGUACCAUAAAUAAAUAAAUAAAUAAAUAAAUAAAUGGAUUUUUGGAAGCAUUGCUAGAACAGAACAGAACAGAACAGAACAGAACAGAACAGAACAGAAUAGAAUAGAAUAGAAUAGAAUAGAAUAGAAUAGAAUAGAAUAGAAUAGAANNNNNNNNNNGGGAAAGAGAAGGUGUCCUGUAUCACAUUUCAGAUACUCUGUGUGAACCUGGGGACAUGCACAUAGAGGCAUACAAAACUUGGAAAAACUAUUCAAUGUUACUGUCAAGAAUUCCUUCUAAGUGAACAAGAAGAAGAAAGACAUGAUGAAUGUCUUUUCCAGAGCUGCAGUGCCAGGGUAUUACUAUAAUCAAACUAUUCCUAAUACUAUAUAUGUGGGAUCUUGGACACAUGCCAAAGAGAUGAUCAGGCCAUGGGAUGAUCUGGCUCGGUGUUACUUCCAAGUGAACCAAGAAGCUGCUGAAGUUGUGACAAUCACAGCCUGAGCCCCAGCUGUGAAACUCAGGUUCCUUCUCCAUUUCCUUGAGGGGAAUAGAUAAAGAUAGCUAUAGUCUAAGUAUCCCUAUGGCUAGGAAUUACAGUGGGUUAAAAAAAAAAAAAAUAAAAUAAAAAAACUGCCUAAGCA